AUUGGACUCGGAGAGAAAUGAGGGGCCUGGACUCUCCCGGGAACGAAAGUGGAAACGGGAAAGGAAAUGGACGAAGGGAUGCAAGGCACGAAGGAGCUAACCAAUAAGGGGUGGCAGGAAAGCUACUUGAAGACUAAAUAAAGAACAGAGUUGGGAGAGAACACAGGAUCAAGCUUGCAACCAUGAAUAUGAAAGACUAUAUGUUUAAGAUGGUGGGAGCAGAAAAACAGGAGCCUGGGGAAUUGACAACAUCAUGAAUAUGCUGCACCAUUCUGGACCACUGCAGUCAGAUAACUCCUUAUAUGAGAAAAAUGGGUAACCUACUGGAUUAAGCACCUAUAGGUCGUGUUCUCUGUUGAAUGUAACCAAAAACAAACCUAAUUAAUUCAAAACUCUGUAGAAUUACAAGUAUUAGGAACCUUGAUAUUUGAUUAUUUGGUUAAGACCAAUAAAAGAAUGAAAGAUGAUAAUAUGUACAAAUGGAAAAGAAAAAUAAUAUGUGUGUGUUCUCUUAAACAUCUUCCAGUACAAGUUAUAACUUCAGCAAUUUUGAAAAUUUUUAGUGAUUCUAAAAUAAUGUGUUUUUAAUGACCAAAAGCAGGCUGCUAAUUCAUCAAGUAAAUAGUAAACUUGUUCCUACUUUGCUCAAAUAUGAAGCUGACUGAUAGAAAUCAUCAAAGUCCUUGGGUUAAAAUUGUUCAAAUUAGAAGUAUUGGUGUAUAAAGAAAAUUGACUUUUUACUAGGUUUGGUAAUUAUCCCUUCACAUGAUAGAAACAUAUGAUACAGCAAUUGAAUUUUUAGUGUUUGUGUUACAAGCAGUAUUUGAAAACAUUUACUAAUCAACAAAUUUAUAUAUGAAAAAAGCGGGAUUGAAUAUAAAAAGGAAAAUUAAUUAUUGUUUCAUGAUACAUCCAACAUUACUUUUUAAAAUAAAAUAUUUAUUCUGUGAUCUAUAUUUAAAUACACACUACCUUUUGAUAUUAUAUGUAAGUGAAAAUUAUCAUUUCUAAUGAAAAAUUAGAGUGAGAUUCAAUUUCUACCAUAAGAAAGUCCUUUCAUAAAAAAUAUUCUGGAACAUUUCCUGUGCCUGUUUCCUCAUGUAUAAUAUAGUUACAAGAACAUUUCUUAGCCCAUAGAGUUGUUGAAUUAUAUAUAUUAAGCACAUCAAAUAAUAUAAUAUCUUUCUUAAAGUAAGCAAAUAUUAAUAAAAGAUUAUUAUCAUUGUUAGGGAGGUAGAUAUGAUGAUAUAGCCACCAAAAUUUACAUUUUCCUUCUGUAAUAUUGAGUUUUUGCUGGGAAGUGGCUUCCUAGCCUGGGACUGUAAACUACUCUUGCAACACAAUGGGUUGUGUGAUUAGUUGUUGCUUGUGGAAUGUGAGUGGCAGUGGUAUACACGGUAUCACUUCUGGGCAAAUGUAUUUACAAAGUAUGUAGAUGUACCUUCCCUAUGCUCUUUUCUCCCAUUUGUCAAAUAUAUGUGGAGGAGCUCCAAGACCUUAUGAGAUGAAGCGACAAAAGGAAAGAACCCUAGGUCCUUGAAUCACCAUAUAUUGGAAAGUCACUUACACAGGGAUGAUUAACACCAGAAUCAGAGUGUGACAUAAGUAAGACACAAAAUUCUAUGAUGUGAAAAAACUACAAUGUAAAUGUUAACUUGUUAUUUGUUAGUCAAUUGUCUAAAUGUUUUAUAAGUGAUUUAAUAAAAUUCAUAUCAUAUUUAUCAGCUACAUGAAGAGCAAAAUUCUAAUUUUUCUUUUUUUUCUUUUUUUUUUUUGAGACAGAGUCUCACUCUGUCACCCAGGCUGGAGUGCAGUGGUGCAAUCUUGGCUCACUGCAACCUCUGCCUCCCAGGUUCAAGCAAUUCUCCUGCCUCAGCCUCCCAAGUAGCUGGAAAUACAGGCACGUGCCACCACCCCAGCUAAUUUUUUUGUAUUUUUAGUAGAGACGGGAUUUCACCAUGUUGGCCAGGGUGAUCUCGAUCUUCUGACCUCAUGAUCCAUCUGCCUCAGCCUCCCAAAGUGCUGGGGUUACAGGCGUGAGCCACCGCACCUGGCCAAAAUUCUAAUUUUUCUAUGGGUUUCUUAUGACAUUCUGAUAUAUAUAUAUUUUCUAAAUACAUCUUAAAGUAAAUUUUAAGCUCAUUACAUUAUUUCAUCUAUAUUUGAAAAUUUUAUGUUCUAUGAAGUUCUCUUAUCAAACCCAAUUAAUUUCUGUGGGUUUGAAACUUAAUUAUUGAAGCCAGAAAAUACAUUACAGAAGCUAUUAUAAUUCAAGAUAUAUUUUUUGCACAAGAUGGUCAUAAUGAAUAUUUACAAUUAAAAGGAGUAUGUUCUAGUAAUUGAUAUUCUACUAAUUUUUCCAGAGGUCAGUAUUCUGUUAAUGUAAGUUGAACCAUCUUUCAAUUGACAUUUGCCUGAAGUCAUAUUGUCUGUGAUUUUAGUUACGAUAUUAUGACCAGAAACAAUAGCUAUUUUAUUCAUACAAAUGCUUAUAAUUUGAUUUUAAAAAUUCUGUAACCCUAUUAUUAAAAGCAAGAUGGAUACAAUUUAAACCGUAGAAGUUGUGCUGGUAUCAAGUAUCUCAGUUUCCCUACCAUUUAAAAAAUAAAAGUAAAGAAAUAUUUAAUC